rnacentral:rRNA from 1 species
UGAGGAAUAUUGGACAAUGGGUGAGAGCCUGAUCCAGCCAUCCCGCGUGAAGGAAGACGGUCCUAUGGAUUGUAAACUUCUUUUGUACAGGGAUAAACCUACCCUCGUGAGGGUAGCUGAAGGUACUGUACGAAUAAGCACCGGCUAACUCCGUGCCAGCAGCCGCGGUAAUACGGAGGGUGCAAGCGUUAUCCGGAUUUAUUGGGUUUAAAGGGUCCGUAGGCGGACUUGUAAGUCAGUGGUGAAAUCUCAUAGCUUAACUAUGAAACUGCCAUUGAUACUGCAGGUCUUGAGUAAAUUUGAAGUGGCUGGAAUAAGUAGUGUAGCGGUGAAAUGCAUAGAUAUUACUUAGAACACCAAUUGCGAAGGCAGGUCACUAAGAUUUAACUGACGCUGAUGGACGAAAGCGUGGGUAGCGAACAGG